ACUAAGUGUAGCAAGGAUGAGGCCUGACCUCAGAUAGUACACAGAAGACAAAUCAACUAAUUAGGGCAGCAACAGAUGUAGGCUGAAGAUGGCAAAUAUAUUAACCCUGCAAAAAGAGAAAAUAAGAAAUGAAAUUUAGAAUAUUUCAAGUUAGCAACUAGAAUUGAAUUUCUUCAUUCACAUGCCAAUGUAUGUGGCAAAGUGCAGAGAGAUUUGCAUACCCCCCUUAUAUGAGCAUCAUCUACCUGAAAAGAAACUUUUCAGAAGUUGAUGUGCUGGUAAGAAGUGGGGAAAUGAGAAGGAAAGUUCAUGCAAAUACAAUAGCACAAAACAAAGACCAAGGUGGUGGAGUUACAUGUAGAUGUCUGGCAUAGACUGGAACAUAAUAACUUCAGGAAAAAUAAUGCAUCAGCCUGCUUGUUGUGGAGCAUAGAGGAGCAUAUAACCACUAUGUGUAGUUCACCAGAGAGGAGAAAUGGGUGUUCCCACGGGCUAAGACACACCAAUCAAGAGUUUCUUUCGAAAAGAAUCGCUUGCAUCGAAGGAGAUAUGCUCGGUAGAUCACUUUUUCCAUGUCUCGGAUGAACGCUUCAAGCUCCCAAAUUCACUGCUGCU
rnacentral:lncRNA from 1 species